CCUACGGGAGGCAGCAGUGGGGAAUCUUACGGAAGGCAGCAACCGUAAUCCUGCCAACCGCGAAACCAUGAAGGCGUUACGCCGGUAAAGCGAGAAUCCGUAGGAAUAAAGCCGUACCCCGGGGAAGACGGUACGGGAGAGAAGCAUCGCACUAG
rnacentral:rRNA from 1 species